rnacentral:tRNA from 1 species
GCGGAAUUAACUUAAUGGCAGAGUGUUGCCUUGCCAAGGCAGUUGUUAUCGGUUCAAGUCCGUUAUUCCGCU